rnacentral:rRNA from 1 species
GGAAAAGAAACUAACAAGGAUUCCCCUAGUAACGGCGAGUGAAGAGGGAAGAGCUCAAAUUUGAAAGCUGGUACCUCCGGUAUCCGCGUUGUAACCUCGAGACACGUUUUCCGUGCGGCGCUAUGGACAAGUUCCUUGGAACAGGACAUCGUAAAGGGUGAAAAUCCCGUACUCGCCAUGGAUGUACCGUGCUUUGCGAUACGUGCUCUAAGAGUCGAGUUGUUUGGGAUUGCAGCUCAAAAUGGGUGGUAGACUCCAUCUAAAGCUAAAUAUCGGGGAGAGACCGAUAGCGAACAAGUACCGUGAGGGAAAGAUGAAAAGCACUUUGGAAAGAGAGUUAAGAGUACGUGAAAUUGUCGAAAGGGAAGCGCUUGAAGUCAGCCAUGCCGCUCAGGACUCACCCUGGCUUUUGCUUGGUGUAUUUCCUGGGUAGCAAGUCAGCAUUGGUUUGGAU